GAAAUGCGAUAAGUAAUGUGAAUUGCAGAAUUCAGUGAAUCAUCGAAUCUUUGAACGCACAUUGCGCCCCCUGGUAUUCCGGGGGGCAUGCCUGUUCGAGCGUCAUUUCACCACUCAAGCCUCGCUUGGUAUUGGGCGACGCGGUCCGCCGCGCGCCUCAAAUCGACCGGCUGGGUCUUUCGUCCCCUCAGCGUUGUGGAAACUAUUCGCUAAAGGGUGCCGUGGGAGGCCACGCCGUAAAACAACCCCAUUUCUAAGGUUGACCUCGGAUCAGGUAGGGAUACCCGCUGAACUUAAGC
rnacentral:misc_RNA from 1 species